rnacentral:lncRNA from 1 species
UUUGAAAUUUUGAAAUCAAACAUAUAUUUUAUAAAUUUUAUAUAAUAUAUCAUAAACGCGACUUUAAAUCUAUACUAUUACACAAAUAUAUAUAGUAUAGUCAGAUUUUAUUUCCAAAUGAGACAUAAUUUUAUUGUGUUCUAUUCCAUUUGGAAACAAAUAACAUCUCUUUCUUUUUCUUUCUUUUUUUUCUCUCUCCCCCUC